rnacentral:rRNA from 1 species
GUGGGGAAUCUUGCGCAAUGGGCGAAAGCCUGACGCAGCCAUGCCGCGUGAAUGAUGAAGGUCUUAGGAUUGUAAAAUUCUUUCACCGGGGACGAUAAUGACGGUACCCGGAGAAGAAGCUCCGGCUAACUUCGUGCCAGCAGCCGCGGUAAUACGAAGGGGGCUAGCGUUGCUCGGAAUUACUGGGCGUAAAGGGCGCGUAGGCGGACAGCUUAGUCAGAGGUGAAAGCCCAGGGCUCAACCUUGGAAUUGCCUUUGAUACUGGCUGUCUUGAGUGUGGGAGAGGUGAGUGGAAUUCCGAGUGUAGAGGUGAAAUUCGUAGAUAUUCGGAGGAACACCAGUGGCGAAGGCGGCUCACUGGCUCGAUACUGACGCUGAGGUGCGAAAGCGUGGGGAGCAAACAGGAUUAGAAACCCGGGUAGUCC